rnacentral:rRNA from 1 species
UGGGGAAUAUUGCACAAUGGGCGCAAGCCUGAUGCAGCGACGCCGCGUGGGGGAUGACGGCCUUCGGGUUGUAAACUUCUUUCGCUAGGGACGAAGCUUUUUGUGACGGUACCUAGAUAAGAAGCACCGGCUAACUACGUGCCAGCAGCCGCGGUAAUACGUAGGGUGCGAGCGUUGUCCGGAAUUACUGGGCGUAAAGGGCUCGUAGGUGGUUUGUCGCGUCGUCUGUGAAAUUCCGGGGCUUAACUCCGGGCGUGCAGGCGAUACGGGCAUAACUUGAGUACUGUAGGGGUAACUGGAAUUCCUGGUGUAGCGGUGAAAUGCGCAGAUAUCAGGGGGAACACCGAUGGCGAAGGCAGGUUACUGGGCAGUUACUGACGCUGAGGGGCGAAAGCAUGGGUAGCGAACAGG